GUUCAAGGAAGUAAACAAUGCAGAGCAUUAUGGAAGCCUCCUUUCUGUUUGUGUUCUCUGUUAUCAUGCUUUUUACUGCCCUCAAAAUGGUCGAAAUGCGGCAAAGGAUCAACACUCUGCUUGUGCUGAGGCAACUGAAAUGGGGACGGAACGAAAUAGUUACCCGACAGUGUUUUAGACGGGGGGAUUAUAAACGAGAGACAGCGCGCAUCAUCUCAGCACGAAAGGGCAUGAACAAGGACUCCCAGAUGAGGGCCGCCAUCAACCAAAAGCUGAUCGAAAUGGGGGAGAGGGAGAAGUUGAAAGAAUUGCUCAAGACAAAGCUGGUGGAGUGCGGGUGGAAAGAUCAGCUAAAGGCACUCUGCAAAGACGUGAUUCGAGAAAAGGGCUUGGACCACGUCACAGUGGAGGAUUUAGUCACCGAAAUAACACCAAAAGGGAGAGUCAAAUAAGUUGUCUACAAAUGGAGAGAGUUUGGCACUGUUGCUUUUCUCCCAAGGAGUGGCCGUCCACCAAAGAUGACGGCAAGAGUUCAGCGCAGAAUACUCAGAGAGCACUGGUUCCUGACAGCGUGAAAAAAGAACUCCUGCAAAGAAUUCGAGCGUUUAUAACUCAGCAUGCAACCUUGUGAACAAUACGACUGCUGUCCACUUUUUCCCCCUUCACUUUCAUUAGCUAGGGAAGGAAAAUCCAGAUUCACGACCUUGCUCAUUGUGGUGUAUGCGAUAGGGUUUGUGCUUUCAUAUAGAUUUUUUUUGUUUUUUUUUUGUUACACAUCAGUUUUUGGAGAAAACAAAUAAAAGUCAUGACUAUUUUGGUUAUCAA